GUACCACAAGUUGACGUCAAAAAGAGCCGUUCCCGGACGGAGUAAACCGUUUGACGAAUUACUCUCCAAUCAUCAUAUGGACAGGGAAAUGCUCUUCAAUUUAACCUCAGACAUAGAUGUACCCGGACAGAGUAGACCAUUUGACGAAUUACUCUCCAAUCAUCAUAUGGACCAGGAAAUGUCAAGAAGUUUCGAGUAAAAAAUACUAGAAGAAUUCUUGGACAUGGCAAACUAGCACGGAUGUUUUAACGGCUCUCAGACACAACCAUCACCAUGCAAAAGUAGCUGCUGCAUCUGUAGCACCAUCCACUCCAGUUGCUCCUAUUGUGCCCGGAAAACAGAAGAAGAUUAGUGCAACCAAUACAUCCCUAGAAGUUGCAGCACCUGCAGCCCCACCUCACAGCUCCCAAACAGCAGAGGAAAUAGCAAGACAUUUUAUAGAAUUAAUAUUAAUGAAAAUAGUAUAUAUUUGAAUAAAAAGUGUACAGUAUUUUGACAAUACAAAUUUGAACACCACUUUUAUGGAUAUAUUUAAUGUAUACAUAUUUUACAGUUGUCGAGAAGUUUAAUACUUUAGAUCUCUAAGAAGCCAGGGAUUCCCGGAGGUUAGAAGUUUCCAUUUUACAAAAGCAUUUAGGUGCUGUAAACUAACAUAGAAUUGGACUCCCAGAGGCUGAUAGUGUUCCACAGGCUGCUACCUCUAGGGGAUGCAAAAUUCCAAAGAUCAGAAACUCCCAUAAGCCAAAAGCUUAAGAUGCACAGAGAUUCCGAUACCAAGAGCUUCCAGAAUUCAGGAGGCUUAAACUUUAUUAAGAUGGAAGUUCUUAAAGACUGAGCUUCUACUGUCCAAAAAUUUAAACAUCAAACCAGUCUAUACU